CGAAAGCGAGUCUGAAUAGGGCGACUGAGUUGCACGGAUUAGACCCGAAACCGAGUGAUCUAGCCAUGGGCAGGUUGAAGGUGCGGUAACACGCACUGGAGGACCGAACCAUUUAAUGUUGAAAAAUUAUUGGAUGAGUUGUGUUUAGGGGUGAAAGGCCAAUCAAGCCGGGAAAUAGCUGGUUCUCCGCGAAAGCUAUUUAGGUAGCGCGUCUAGUCUCACCUUCGGGGGUAGAGCACUGGAUGGGGAAGGGGGGAGCGAUCCUUACCGACUCUAACCAAACUCCGAAUACCGAAGAGUGCAAUCUAGGCAGACAGACGGCGGGUGCUAA
rnacentral:rRNA from 1 species